CCGUGCAGCCGGGGAGACAGCGGUGCCCUGUACCUGCAAUCCGCUACAGCAGGGGUGAUGCCGAACCGAGGACUUUUUCACUGCGCAGCUGCCUCUUAUAAGUGGCGCUGACGUCCGGGUCUUACGCAACGGGAAUCCAUGAACCGUGUCAGGGCAGGAAUGCAGCAGCACUAAGUGGAACCUUCCGUGUGCCGUGAGGGUGCCUGGGCCGAGUUAACUGUAAGAGUAACGUGUGUGGUGUCAGUUCGAAGGGAGGCGCACGG
rnacentral:SRP_RNA from 1 species